GACGAACGCUGGCGGCGCGCCUAACACAUGCAGGUCGAACGGAGUUGAGAGGAGCUUGCUUUUCUUGACUUAGUGGCGAACGGGUGAGUAACGCGUGAGGAACCUGCCUCAAAGAGGGGGACAACAGUUGGAAACGACUGCUAAUACCGCAUAAGCCCACGGUCCCGCAUGGGAGAGAGGGAAAAGGAGCAAUCCGCUUUGAGAUGGCCUCGCGUCCGAUUAGCUGGUUGGUGAGGUAACGGCCCACCAAGGCGACGAUCGGUAGCCGGACUGAGAGGUUGAACGGCCACAUUGGGACUGAGACACGGCCCAGACUCCUACGGGAGGCAGCAGUGGGGAAUAUUGCACAAUGGGGGAAACCCUGAUGCAGCGACGCCGCGUGGAGGAAGAAGGUCUUCGGAUUGUAAACUCCUGUUGUUGGGGAAAAAGAGGAUGGUACCCAACAAGGAAGUGACGGCUAACUACGUGCCAGCAGCCGCGGUAAAACGUAGGUCACAAGCGUUGUCCGGAAUUACUGGGUGUAAAGGGAGCGCAGGCGGGUAUGCAAGUUGGGAGUGAAAUACAUGGGCUCAACCCAUGAACUGCUCUCAAAACUGUGUAUCUUGAGUAGUGCAGAGGUAGGCGGAAUUCCCGGUGUAGCGGUGGAAUGCGUAGAUAUCGGGAGGAACACCAGUGGCGAAGGCGGCCUACUGGGCACCAACUGACGCUGAGGCUCGAAAGUGUGGGUAGCAAACAGGAUUAGAUACCCUGGUAGUCCACACCGUAAACGAUGAUUACUAGGUGUUGGAGGAUAGACCCCUUCAGUGCCGCAGUUAACACAAUAAGUAAUCCACCUGGGGAGUACGACCGCAAGGUUGAAACUCAAAGGAAUUGACGGGGGCCCGCACAAGCAGUGGAGUAUGUGGUUUAAUUCGACGCAACGCGAAGAACCUUACCAAGUCUUGACAUCCUCUGACGAUGCUGGAAACAGUAUUUUCCUUCGGGACAGAGAGACAGGUGGUGCAUGGUUGUCGUCAGCUCGUGUCGUGAGAUGUUGGGUUAAGUCCCGCAACGAGCGCAACCCUUAUGGAUAGUUACUACGCAAGAGGACUCUAUUCAGACUGCCGUUGACAAAACGGAGGAAGGUGGGGACGACGUCAAAUCAUCAUGCCCUAUAUGUCCUGGGCUACACACGUACUACAAUGGCUGUAACAAAGAGAAGCGAAAUCGCGAGGUGGAGCAAAACUCAAAAAAGCAGUCUCAGUUCGGAUUGAAGGCUGAAAUUCGCCUUCAUGAAGCCGGAAUUGCUAGUAAUGGCAGGUCAGCAUACUGCCGUGAAUACGUUCCCGGGCCUUGUACACACCGCCCGUCACACCAUGAGAGUUGGGGAUACCCGAAGCCUGUGAGCUAACUAUAUAGAGGCAGCAGUCGAAGGUAGAAUCAAUGAUUGGGGUGA
rnacentral:rRNA from 1 species